AAAUCUCAUUUUUUUUGUUUUGGUCCUCCUCUCUCUUUGCCCAAAUAGAUCUCUCUCUCUCUCUCUCUCUCUCUCUCUUUCCCCUCCUCGUCGCCGUCACCACCACUAUCUUUCGCCCCUUGCUUGACGUCUCUUUCAUCUCCUCCCCGUAGCCAUCUCCCAAUCACAAAUCAAAUCUGGAGAUGCCAGAUCUAGAAGAUGUAGAAACUUCAAAAAAAAAGAAAAAAAAAAAGAAAAAAAAUGUUUCAUUGCACGAAGAUUCAAGGUUUGGGUGGUUGUGGGUUUGAAGACUUUUCUUUAUAACUUUUUGCUUUGUUUAUUUAAUAAAAAAAAUCUUUCAUUGUUGUAACUUGUAUGUGAAAAUGUUGGUUUAUUUGUUUAAUAAAAAAAGUGUAUUCAUUGUUGCUUUGUU